AUAUUAUUUCAAAAAGGUUGCUGAAAAUUAAUAAAAUACCUACUUUGUAUAAUCCACUCGAUAUGGGAACUAAGGUGAUACCUUUAAAUAAGUUUCAAAACUGUUUAAAGAUGUUGUCUAUUGAUUCUUUUCAUUGAUUGUAUAGGUAAAAUGGAGUAAAUGAAAUUAUAAAUGUUGGUGAAACUCCUGGCUGCAUUAUAGGCUUAAAUUUUGGAAGCAAGGUGGAGAUUGUUGAGAAAGUGUUCCAAAAUUCAACUUGAAGAAGCGUGUUUUAUGAAAUAGCAAUUUUCUUUAAGUGAUAUUCUACGUGGCGGUUGAUUGUUGGCUACUAAACAUUAACACUCGGAUUGUGCUACUUGAAACAAUAUGUGAGCUGCUGAUUAAAUAUUGUGGCUGGAGUUAAAACAAAAAAUCUGACUUAUGGGCUGCCUUUUCUUUGGAAGACUAACACACACACACACUCUCUCAGACGUCUCACUCUCUCAAGAAAAAGGGCUGGUCAUUUUCUCUCUCUUCGUGUGUGAAACUGUCUCUUUUUUCUUAGUGAUUUUAAGGUUAAUUUUUUGUAGUUUUUUCUGAAAAUAAUCCUAGAAAACAGCAUGAAAUACUCAAGAUCUAUAUGGGUGUUGUGCUAUUUUGCUCUUUGUUGAGUCGAACCCGAGUGACUUUUUGUUGGCCAGAUUUUCUUGUGAAAACUUAGUGUUUUUCGGCCGUUCUUAUAUACUAUAGAGGUUGAUUUUGUAUAGUUCCUUGGUGGAAAGUGAUAUACUAUGAAAUAGCACUCGAAUUUUUGUGAUUCUAGAGAUGGUAACUUCAAUCAUGGGAGAAAUCUUAGUGAUU
rnacentral:lncRNA from 1 species